rnacentral:rRNA from 1 species
AGCGAACGCUGGCGGCAGGCCUAACACAUGCAAGUCGAACGGAUCCUUCGGGAUUAGUGGCGGACGGGUGAGUAACACGUGGGAACGUGCCCUUUGGUUCGGAACAACUCAGGGAAACUUGAGCUAAUACCGGAUGUGCCCUUCGGGGGAAAGAUUUAUCGCCAUUGGAGCGGCCCGCGUCUGAUUAGCUAGUUGGUGAGGUAAAGGCUCACCAAGGCGACGAUCAGUAUCUGGUCUGAGAGGAUGAUCAGCCACAUUGGGACUGAGACACGGCCCAAACUCCUACGGGAGGCAGCAGUGGGGAAUCUUGCGCAAUGGGCGAAAGCCUAACGCAGCCAUGCCGCGUGAAUGAUGAAGGUCUUAGGAUUGUAAAAUUCUUUCACCGGGGACGAUAAUGACGGUACCCGGAGAAGAAGCCCCGGCUAACUUCGUGCCAGCCGCCGCAGUAAUAC